UCCCUGGUGGCUCAGGCGGUAAAAGUGUCUGCCUGCAAUGUAGGAGAACCAGGUUCAAUCCCUGGGUUGGGAA
rnacentral:tRNA from 1 species